rnacentral:rRNA from 1 species
UACGAAGGGUGCAAGCGUUAAUCGGAAUUACUGGGCGUAAAGCGUGCGUAGGUGGUUCGUUAAGUCCGUUGUGAAAGCCCCGAGCUCAACUUGGGAAUUGCAGUGGAUACUGGCAAGCUGGAGUAUGGUAGAGGAAGGUGGAAUUCCCGGUGCAGCAGUGAAAUGCGUAGAGAUCGGGAGGAACACCAGUGGCGAAGGCGGCCUUCUGGACCAAUACUGACGCUCAUGCACGAAAGCGUGGGGAGCAAACAGG